rfam:Triticum aestivum genome assembly, contig: Triticum_aestivum_CS42_TGACv1_scaffold_374134_5AL
AAUGUACUCCCUCCGUCCCAAAAUUAUUGUCUUAGAUUUGUCUAAAUACGGAUAUUCUUGAUACACCCGUAUCUAGACAAAUCUAAGACAAGAAUUUUGGGAUGGAGGGAGUAGUAG